GCACUCUAGCUCAGUGAGUAGAGCAGGAGACUCUUAAUCUCUGGAUCGUGGGUUUGAAUCCCACGUUGGGCA